AGGAGACGGAGACUCCCUUUUUACACGGAGUCCCAUGGAGAGGACAAGGGGGGAUGGACACAAGUUGCUCUUGGGGAGAUUCCGAUGGGACACCAGAGGGACAUUUUUCACAGUGAGGUCAGUCACCACUGGAAUAAUCUCCCCAGGGAAGGGAUUGGCUCGGCCACGUUGGACACCUUCAAGAGUCGGCUGGACAGGGUGCUGGGGCGUCUUGUCUAGGCUGGGCUCUUCCCAGAAAGGCUGGACUAGAUGGUCCCUGAGGUCCCUUCCAGCCUGGGACUCUGUGACCUGGGGGAGGUGUGGGGUGGUAGUUGUGAAAACGCUCCUUGGCACUUAAGAUGAGGAAGGCUUGCUCGGGUGGAGCGGGGAUGAGCAGCACAGGCUCCUCUGGCAGUCCCUUCCCUGCUGGGGGUGUUUCCCUAUGGGCGUGAAGAUACCUAAUAAGCUUCAGUGUUUUCAAUCCCUGGAGCAUCUCAGGCUUUGCUGGAGGGCCAGGGCUGGCGUGGCUUCCCUGCUGCUUCCUGAGCCUCUGUGCUCAGAGGGGUCAAAGCAAGUCACUUUGCAAGGGUCCGCACCAGCGCUGAACAGACGAUAACGCACACAAACAAGUUCCUCUGCGCAAUUCCGUUGCAAUUUUUGGGCUCAUUAGCUAUGCAAAAGUAUUUGCCCAUCCACUACCAAAUGCCUUUCUAUUGUGUGAAUAAUUGCUUGGUUUGCUGAGAAGUGUGAACCGUUUUGGUUAAUUUUCAGGCUGCCUAGUUUGUUUCUGUUCUGGCUGCUGCCAGCAAAAGGUUUCUCAGCUUCUGCUGGUCUCUUGCGCUGCUGCCACAUAUUCCUAAGCUUAGCAGAAAAAUUAUAGAUUUCCGAUCUUCCAGUCAAAUGCAGAAUUCAAAAGGCUAUGUUUUUCCCGUGGGUGAAGAGCGCACACUGUUUGAGUCACGCUGUGGGGGCCUCGUGGCAGGUUAAUUUGAAAUGGUCGAAAAUUAAACUUCAUUCCUGGAAGAAGAGCCCUGUUCUUGGAAAUGCUCUGUGCUGUGCACUCCUCCCUUGGAACAACUUUCAGAGCAUCCUGUCAGAAACUAACAGCCAGCAGAUGGGAAAUUCAGAGCCCAUCAGCCCCUUUCAUUCAUUCUGCUACUUUUCUAUACAUGGUCAGUGUUAAUCCUGAAUUUUUUUAAGAGGGAUGUGGAAUCCGUAGCUGAGAGAUGGCUACAAAAUACCUUGGUAUGAGCCUACAGCUGGACUGUACGUGCAGAGCUACCUGGAUCUGAAAGCAUGGAUCUCAACCUACUAAAAAUGCAUCUGUGGUCCAAUCUCGUUACGGUCAAUUUGUUCAGAAGGAGGAUUAACGAUGACUGGCGUCCCCUGCCUUAGGAAUCUGUUUCACCAGGGAAGAUGGACAGCCAUGUUAGCUUACACCCAGGUGUGGAGGUCCAGGUGAGGCAAUCACACUCUGUGGGACAUUAAAUGACAAAGAUAUGAUUAAUACGAGCAUGAAUGGACAAGGAAAGAGUUCCCUGAGCAGUCAGGACUGCAGAAGUCCUCCAAGAACUAGUCUGUGUUCAAAUCACGUUUCUUUUUAUAUCAGCAGCUCACCUUAGAGGCAGACGUAUAAAGCAAAACACUGAAGGACAAACUGAACCAAAGACGCAUCGCUAGUUCCUAAAUGUGUUUUUCCUGACCGCUGCACUGCAAUGAGCUCAAUCCUGCCGUUGUAUCCCACUUCAAUGUGCGUUCCCUAAGGGAUGUGGCAUAAAAAUUGCAGCCAAGGAAGGGAAAAGCAAAAGUAACUUUAUAAUAACUUUGCUCCUUCUAGAUUCUGGCGUAUGGGAAGGCCAAAGCGACACAUGAUACGUGUUAGCGCAGCCUUUGCAGCUGCUCUAACUCAGAGAAGCCUUCCCAGGGCUGCCGUUAGGUUGCACGCAGAGGGUCUAUGGCUUUCUCCUGUCCUUGCGCCACCCUGCAGCCCGCAGCUAAGCGGGAUGGCCUGGGACCACCAGUGCUGGCUCCACUCCCCCCCGCAGCGAUGUUGACACCAUGGCUUUCAGGUGUCCUCGCAGAGCCCACCUAUGCCGCCAGAGCAGCCAGGCAGCGCACGAGCGGGGCAAGAAUGAGCUUCCCUGUCCCUCUCCAGAAGGAAAUCUCUAUCGUGAAUAGAGCUCUGCACAAUAGAUAAGGCUUCUCAGAUGAGAAACUGCUUCCCCUUCCCGGCAGAGUCUAAAAUUUCUUCUGAUGGUGAUGACGCCUUGAACAAUGACAACCUUCAUUCAUCUCUGCUGGCCAGGAGAGAGCUGAGAGUUCACAUUUUAAGCUCUUUCACUGUGCUGAAGCCUCUCAUCGCUGUUCAAACACAGUCCUCCAUUAGGAGUUAUUUAAGCAGGAGCCGCUUUCCCUGCUCCAAACCUCUUUGUAUGAAAUCCUUCCAGCACCGCGUGUGGCAUCAGCCAGCAGCUGAUCUGGCGUGCGCUGUGCUGGACACACCAGUAACGGGUAGUUAAUUAACCCGAUCCAUCAGACAGUUCCUUUCCAGGUUGGUAUCCGUGAUUUUAAAGCUUAAAUCUUGUAUCUUCUUUCUAUCUUUGUGUCAUUGUCAUACGUUAAAAAUAAAUAAAUAAAUAAAUGAGACUAGAGGGCACUUUUGAUUACUACAAUUUUUCUUCACAUGCUUCAUUUGCUGGGCUAUUUGUAUCAGCUGAGCUGUCUUUAUUCGCCAAACUCUGGCAGGACUCGGGGCUUGCCCUUCUGGCAAAAUGCAGUUUCAUCCCAAAUUUGUCUCAGCUUUUGCCUCGGUAUCUUUGUUGUUUUCUCAAAAAGCUAAAAUAAAAGCAAAGAACAAUCAAAAGCUCGUUGAUUUGAUUUUAGGUGCCAACAGUGCCUUUUUUCUACUUUAAAAACUCUUUUGGUCAUGAAAAUAAUGACCUUUUUCUGCAAAGGAGGGAUUUCUUUUCUACUGGAGGUAACACAAGAAGAAUGGUCUCGCAAUUAAGGUGAUUUUGAACAAAGUUUAUUCCACGCCUGGCUUGCCUCGGCCUCCUCGUGUGACCUUGGAGGUACGCGCCAACUCCUGACGAUUCUCCUCUCCAGUAAUCACGCUCUGCAAAGGUAUUGCCAGAUUAAAGGUCAGGCUUUCAAAAGUAACGGGUGGUUUUGUUUCUCUGACUUAACCUACAGAGGCAUCUCUGAAAAUGAAGCCCUGUUACAGAUAUUUGAUGGGAAGGGAGGCAUCCAGCAAGGCGGACACCUAGAAUCAAUAGUUGCUUUCAGAAAUCUUGGCCUACACCCAUGGAUGCUUGUAAAGUACUUUAACAUCCAAAUGUUGGAGAAGAGAGAAUGAUUUAAAUGUUUUGAAGUUAUUCCCAGGGCUAGAAGUUUGCAGGAUUGUGUCACAAUGAGAAAAAAAAAAAAAUAUAUAUAUAGCAAAUGUAAUGAGGAAAUUCUCACAAGUUCAGGGAGAAGACGAUAUUUUCCUAAAGCGCUUCUGAUUGGCUUUAGUUUGGUCUGGUUGUCUUCUUUCAAGGCAGCCAUAAAUCUUCUGAGCCAAGGAGCUUUCCUGGGAGCCGAGCAGAUGUCUGCUGAACCACUGGGUUUAACCCUUGCUCGGCAGCCCGCGAGGCAACGCACGCCCAUGGCCUUGCAGGGCGUCAGGCCGGGGAUGAUGUGCCGAUUUACACCCCGGAAAAAGUAAAUGUGGGUGACCCAGGGCAGACCGAAAAAAUGCGUGUGCGCCGCGGUCUGGGAAGGAGCCUGAGAAGCAUGCGAUGAGUGUGGGUCAGCUCCUUCUGCUGCCGGGCUGUAAGGGUGCGGGGCUGCAGUGGGGCUGGUGCCGAAGAGUCGCGGGGGGCUGCCGGGACCCCCCCAGGCCAGGGAGAGCUGCUGCAGGCCGGGCCUCUCGUGUGGGUACCACAGGGAUGCUGCCCCUGCCCGCACCUGGCAGGAUCUGCCUCUUCCCCUUUAGGAAAGAGGCUUUUCUCGAGCUCCCCUAAAAACCAGGUCUGGCAUGACCUCAGGACCACUUGAGGUUAAUGUUCUCCCCCUUCUCCAAACGCCUCUAUCUCUUCCUUUAGUCUCACCUCUAAAGCGCAAGUUGCCUACUCAAACCAACCCCACUGCGUGUUCCCUUCUGCCUACGUACCAGGUACGAUAACGGCAACAAGCAUUACCUGGGCCUGGAGAACAGCAUUGCUAUGGACCGGGUUUAUUGUGCAACUUAUUCACCUGGAAUUAAUCUUGGAAAUGUUAUCAGAGGCUGCUGCUGUUCUUGCGAUGUGCUCUUGCUUUGUGAAGCCUUUGCUUGCGGGACUAUUUCUAACACUCGGCUAGUUUUCUUCAAGGGGUUGUGUUGUUAAUUAUCUUGCUUGCAAGCAGGAUUCCCUGGCUACCUAGCAGUAGAUACCAUACUUAUUUUAAGGAAAAUCAGCUGCACGGGCAGGCAGACUAGCUGCCAGAUACAAAAUGACUGAACUAGCUUUGUUUAUGGGUCAGACAAGAAAAUUGCUGGCUGUGUAACGCCUGGGACUAUCGCAGCAAGACCCCUGGGGCCUGGGGAGAGUCAACACCACACACGCCUUUGUGCCCCAGCUUGUUGUACUGGGAAAGAGCCUUGAAAGUCCACGUUUCUGAAACCAGACCUUUAUACGUGUGGAUAUCGUCCAGGCGUUGCUCUGGAUCUUACACUGGAAGGUGAACUGAGAGCAUGUUUUGGCUCAGGUGCUGUAAUGUGCUUUUAUUGCUGUGCUUUGAAAUACAUCUUUUCAUUUCUCCCCGGA